UAUCAUUCUUUGGGUUUUAAUUAUCUUGAUGUAUUUACAGCAAUAGUGAUCCUAGCUAACAUCUCUGGCUUUAAAUGAAAAUUCCUAUUAAAAAAAAAAAAAAAAAAAAAAAGAGCAGAUGGGAUGGAAAAAAUCUUUUACAAUUUCUCAGUUAAUGGCUUUGUCACUUUGCUUUUGCCUUCCACUCUAAGCUGACAAUACUCUUUUAUCCGGAACAGUGGUGCUUGAGUGUUUCACAGUCAAAUGCUUGGUCUCCCAUGCUUAUUUGACAAGGUUCUUUCCUUGGACUGGGGAGAUCUCUGCUACAUGACAGGGGAGAGUGAGAGAGAGGAGUUGAAGGCCUAGAAGAAGCUAGCCUAUGUUGGAAAUUGCUUCCCCAAUUUGUUAAUUUACCCUAUAUAACAACAACAAAGCUUUACUCCCAAAAAUUUGGGGUUAGUUAUGGAUCUUUAACUGUAAUUGGGGUUGGUCCUAUGUAUACAUCUCUGCCAUUCAAUUAUAUCCAAAAUCAUACCUUUGCCA